rnacentral:misc_RNA from 1 species
AAAGUCGUAACAAGGUAACCGUAGGUGAACCUGCGGUUGGAUCAUUAAAAAUUCAAUAGCCUCUCAUUGUUUGAUGAACUUCAUUGCAAUGAAUGUUGGCACCACAUCUUGUGCACUGUAUUGUCUUUGGUGGUUGGGCGGGAUGCUUCUAUGAAACUCUCGUCUGUCAGUCUGAAAUUAAUCGUUCAGGCCGUGGACAAGCCACCAUUUGUUUUUUCAACCUAUUUUACAAUUUUAUUUUUUAGUCUAACAUCAACCUGUAUGAAUAUACAAACAACUUUUGGCAACGGAUCUCUUGGUUCUC